rnacentral:tRNA from 1 species
GGCGCUUUGGCGGAGUGGUUAACGCGCGGGCCUGCUAAGCCCGUUCCUUCGGGAGCGCAGGUUCGAAUCCUGCAGGCGUCG